UUUUCACAAGAGACAAAAAUAACGAGUUAAGAAGGCAAGGGUGCACCUGAAAUGUAUAGUAGAUCAAUGGAACUCCUUUAUAAUUUCUCUCUAUUUAUAUCCUUUCUUUCUUUCUUGUCUACAAACUCUACAUCCGGAGGAAGAAGAUCCAGAAAAUGGAGGAGAAGAAGAUAAAAAGAGGGAUCUCUGGGACUAUGCGCGUCCUCCAGCACACUGAUCAUGGGGCGCGAUCAAUCGUGCACCACUCACAGUUGAAGCUGCCAGCAUGAUCUGUGCUUUCUUCAGCUGAUCCUUAUCUAUCCUGGGAAGAAUAGAUCAUCUGGCAGUUUCACCUGUUGAUGGAAAGCAUGAGGAAACCCUAAUCUCUAGAAACCCUAAUUUCAUGUUCUGAUUCAAUUACAAGCAACCACAAGGGUUUCUUUUCUUGGUAUUUUAUAAUGAUAUUACGAAUUUUGGGUCAAUCUUUUGUUUGGGAGAUCUGAUGGCUGUCACAGAUCGGAUACGUUAGGAUCUGGAGGAACAUCUUUUCCGUUUCUAACUACACAUCUUUGGUCCAAUCUAUGAUGUUUUAAGCAUUAAUCCUUGCUGCUUAUGUUUCUGAUCCAUUAGAUCAGUAAGUAUUUCCAUCAUGAUCAAGAAAUGAGAUCAAAACCUCACUCGCAUAUACAUACAUAUAUAUUUAUGCAUGAAUAUAUAUAUAUAUAUAUAUAUAUAUAUAUAAAUGUGUUCUUUCAGUUUUUUGAUUUUCUGGCCUGACGAUUGAGUUUGACCCCAAAGGAAAGGGGAAGGAAAUUCAAACCAGUAUCUGUUUCCGAGGUGGAAUAUGAUUUUGUCCUCCUUUGUUAACCCUUGGGGCCAAAUCAUCAUGUAUUUUCAAUUCUCUCGCUCAAGCAACACUGACAUGCAUGAAAUCUGUGUGAUAUGAUAUAUA